AUUGAACGCUGGCGGAAUGCUUUACACAUGCAAGUCGAACGGCAGCACGGACUUCGGUCUGGUGGCGAGUGGCGAACGGGUGAGUAAUGUAUCGGAACGUGCCCAGUCGUGGGGGAUCACGUAGUGAAAAUUACGCUAAUACCGCAUACGAUCUAUGGAUGAAAGCGGGGGAUCGCAAGACCUCGCGCGAUUGGAGCGGCCGAUAUCAGAUUAGGUAGUUGGUGGGGUAAAGGCCCACCAAGCCAACGAUCCGUAGCUGGUCUGAGGGGACGACCAGCCACACUGGAACUGAGACACGGUCCAGACUCCUACGGGAGGCAGCAGUGGGGAAUUUUGGACAAUGGGCGAAAGCCUGAUCCAGCCAUUCCGCGUGCAGGAUGAAGGCCCUCGGGUUGUAAACUGCUUUUGUACAGAACGAAAAGGUUUCUACUAAUACUAGGAGCUCAUGACGGUACUGUAAGAAUAAGCACCGGCUAACUACGUGCCAGCCGCCGCGGUAA
rnacentral:rRNA from 1 species